UACGUAGGUGGCAAGCGUUGUCCGGAUUUAUUGGGUUUAAAGGGUGCGUAGGCGGUCUUAUAAGUCAGUGCUGAAAUAUCCCGGCUUAACCGGGAGGGUGGCAUUGAUACUGCAGGGCUUGAGUAAAGUUGAGGUUGGCGGAAUUGACGGUGUAGCGGUGAAAUGCUUAGAUAUCGUCAAGAACACCGAUAGUGAAGACAGCUAACUAAGCUUUAACUGACGCUGAGGCACGAAAGUGUGGGGAUCAAACAGG
rnacentral:rRNA from 1 species